AGUGAACGCUGGCGGUAGGCCUAACACAUGCAAGUCGAACGGCAGCACAGUAAAAGCUUGCUCUUACGGGUGGCGAGUGGCGGACGGGUGAGGUAUACAUCGGAAUCUACUUUUUCGUGGGGGAUCACGUAGGGAGACUUACGCUAAUACCGCAUACGACCUACGGGUGAAAGCAGGGGAUCUUCGGACCUUGCGCGAUUGAAUGAGCCGAUGUCGGAUUAGCUAGUUGGCGGGGUAAAGGCCCACCAAGGCGACGAUCCGUAGCUGGUCUGAGAGGAUGAUCAGCCACACUGGAACUGAGACACGGUCCAGACUCCUACGGGAGGCAGCAGUGGGGAAUAUUGGACAAUGGGCGCAAGCCUGAUCCAGCCAUACCGCGUGGGUGAAGAAGGCCUUCGGGUUGUAAAGCCCUUUUGUUGGGAAAGAAAAGCAGCAGGUUAAUACCCCGCUGUUCUGACGGUACCCAAAGAAUAAGCACCGGCUAACUUCGUG
rnacentral:rRNA from 1 species